CUCCUACAAAAAGAGAGGGAUGGAGGUAAAGAUAGAUGGAAGGAGAGAUGGAGAGAGAGAAAGAGAGAGAGAGAGAUGGGGAGAGAUGGAGAAAGAAAGCAAAGGAGAGUGAGAGAGAUGAAUAGAAAGACAAAGAAAGAGUGAGGAAGGAAAACAGGUAGAGAGAAAGAGAAAAAUAACAGAUGAGGAUAAAGGUGUGAACAGUAUGUAUGUAGGUCAGGUGAGGAUAAAGGUGUGAACAGAAUGUAUGUAGGUCAGAUGAGGAUAAAGGUGUGAACAGUAUGUAUGUAGGUCAGAUGAGGAUAAAGGUGUGAACAGUAUGUAUGUAGGUCAGAUGAGGAUAAAGGUGUGAACAGUAUGUAUGUAGGUCAGAUGAGGAUAAAGGUGUGAACAGUAUGUAUGUAGGUCAGAUGAGGAUAAAGGUGUGAACAGUAUGUAUGUAGGUCAGAUGAGGAUAAAGGUGUGAACAGUAUGUAUGUAGGUCAGAUGAGGAUAAAGGUGUGAACAGUAUGUAUGUAGGUCAGAUGAGGAUAAAGGUGUGAACAGUAUGUAUGUAGGUCAGAUGAGGAUAAAGGUGUGAACAGUAUGUAUGUAGGUCAGAUGAGGAUAAAGGUGUGAACAGUAUGUAUGUAGGUCAGAUGAGGAUAAAGGUGUGAACAGUAUGUAUGUAGGUCAGAUGAGGAUAAAGGUGUGAACAGUAUGUAUGUAGGUCAGAUGAGGAUAAAGGUGUGAACAGUAUGUAUGUAGGUCAGAUGAGGAUAAAGGUGUGAACAGUAUGUAUGUAGGUCAGAUGAGGAUAAAGGUGUGAACAGUAUGUAUGUAGGUCAGAUGAGGAUAAAGGUGUGAACAGUAUGUAUGUAGGUCAGAUGAGGAUAAAGAUGUGAACAGAAUGUAUGUAGGUCAGAUGAGGAUAAAGGUGUGAACAGUAUGUAUGUAGGUCAGAUGAGGAUAAAGGUGUGAACAGUAUGUAUGUAGGUCAGAUGAGGAUAAAGGUGUGAACAGUAUGUAUGUAGGUCAGAUGAGGAUAAAGGUGUGAACAGUAUGUAUGUAGGUCAGAUGAGGAUAAAGGUGUGAACAGUAUGUAUGUAGGUCAGAUGAGGAUAAAGGUGUGAACAGUAUGUAUGUAGGUCAGAUGAGGAUAA